rnacentral:misc_RNA from 1 species
UCCGGGUUGGACCCGGCGGUCCCGCCAGACAUCGUAACUGGCAGCGAGGGUUGCGCUCGUUGCGGGACUUAACCCAACACCUCACGGCACGAGCUGACGACAGCCAUGCAGCAUCUGUGCACGCUCCCUUGCGGGUCCUCAGCCUUUCAGCCUCGUACCACGUGCAUGUCAAGCCCAGGUAAGGUGGGGAUGACGUUAGUGACCUUUGC